UACGAAGGGGGCUAGCGUUGUUCGGAAUUACUGGGCGUAAAGCGCACGUAGGCGGAUUGUUAAGUGAGGGGUGAAAUCCCAGGGCUCAACCCUGGAACUGCCUCUCAUACUGGCAAUCUCGAGUUCGAGAGAGGUGAGUGGAAUUGCGAGUGUAGAGGUGAAAUUCGUAGAUAUUCGCAGGAACACCAGUGGCGAAGGCGGCUCACUGGCUCGAUACUGACGCUGAGGUGACGAAAGCCGUGGGGAGCAAACAGG
rnacentral:rRNA from 1 species